UUAGAAAAUCUCAAAAGGAGACGAGAGAGAGUAGAACCAUGGAUAAUGAGAGUGUUGAACCAGAGGGUAGUGCUUGCUGUUAUUUCAGACCAUGAGUCAUCUCACUGUCCUGAACAGAAGGUUGAACCAGAGUUAUCUACUGUACUCAGUCUUGCAGUUAUUGGUUGUUUGAUUCUCUUCUUAAGACAAUUUGUGUGCUCCUAGGGUGUAAAAAAUCUUAGCUUUUACGUACAAAAAGUUUCAUUUCCUUCUAUAGUUGUUGACGUACACUGGCUAUCCUUCUUUUAUCAGUUGCAGAGAGUCCAUGGAUAUUGAAUGGAAAUGAAGCAAUAGAGAGGACAUGCCCUAUAUGCUACCAAGUGAGGUUGAAUUGGAUCAAGAGAUGCGCAGCCCGGUGCAUGCAUGCACGAUCAUAUUCAAGCUGAGGAAUGACAGGUGCCAAAGAAUUUUUUUGUAAGGUGGCGAUGAUAAGCUUCUGCAGGUUUGGAACACACGAUCUGCGGAGCCGUAG